ACUCCUUUCAUCUUUAAUUUCCUGCCGUGUCAUCUGAAGACAAAGAUCAAACAGGGGACAAAGUGACCCUCUACGCUCCAGACUCCUCUGAGGAGAGUGAAGAACCCCCACUGUUCACUCGCCCUGACCCUAUCCGUCUCCGUUUCCUCUCCACAUAACCCUCCUCCACAGGCUGGCUCUUAAAAAGUGGCCAUCCUGUGAGCCCCCCCUCCUUUCUCAUCAGAAAACUUUGAUUGCCAAUCUGCGCGAUCCACGUCAAUCAAACAUCUGUUCCGCGGUUUGUCCACCGCUGCACCUGCUGACCUCCAAGUGACCUGCAAAAUAAGCAGCGAGGCGGCAAAAUACAGGAAGCAAUUUCUCCCAACGCUACCUUGGAAAGCGGGAGCCAAUCAGCGGGCGGCGCAGAGCGUCCAUUUUUUGACUCAAUGUGCUCCAGACCGGGCUUCUUAUGUUUGAUUUUCUUUCUUUUUAACUGCACACACAGUUACAUAGGCAAAGGGGAGGUGAAAUUUCUCCCUUCCAAAUGGAUUGCAAUUUCCCCCCAUUUAGCACCUGAAGCCAUUCAUCCAUCAAUCUAUCUACCUUAAGGGGAUAGAGGAGGAGACGGCAAUUGGCAAUGAAUUUUUAGAGGCCAUCCCACUCACAGAUUCCAUCACAGCCUGAAAAAUUCUGUGAGGUAAAAAAAAAAAUGAAAUUGAGACAUGGUAGAAUUUAUUGCCCAGAAAAUUCCAUUCUACUAUCUGAUGUGAAAAGUCCAGUCCUCCUAGCUUCUGAAAAUCUAUUUCCCCUCAUUUUAAUACCCCAGCAUAGCAGUCCUCAUAAUUCAUUCGAGUGUGUUAAGCUCAGUUUUAUUAGAUCUGAAACAAAUUUUGGUGGGGAUCCUAUAGGUCAUUAACCAUGGAGUAAUUUUAUCCUUGUUUCCCUAAUGAUGCCAUAAUGGUGAGUGAAUUUCUUAACUAAAGACCAAAGAACAUUGUGAAGGUCAGCUUCAUCUGCAAGCUCCUUCAAGCGCUUCUCAGAGAGAUUGGAAAAGUCGCACAUUUUUGAGGAGUCAUUAAUAACCUUAAAGCUGAGAGCCUAUUUGCGUUCUCGCUCUCUACCUUUUAAUUUCCCUGGUUUUUCACUCUCUCUCUCUCUCUCUCUCUCUCUCCCCAGCUCUCUGUCCUUUUCCCUGCUCUUUGAUUGCCCUCGUGCAAAAAAAGAAAGGAUUACUCCAUGUGUGUGAAUGGGUUAGAGAAUGCCAAAGAAAAAGAGGGAGAGAGCAGGAAUGGUAGUGCAGUGACAUACAGAUCCCAGAUGUGAUGCUGCUAUAAUUUGAAUUUUAUGCCUUUGUUAUCGCUUUAAUCAUUUUCUUUAUUCGUUUUGUUUCAGUGGUCUGGGAGAGACACCUGAUAGGGUACACCACCUAGGGACCCAUUUUUAUUUGGAAUGUGGUGCAAGGUCUAAUUAGAAUUUGAAUUUUGCUGAGCCUUGAAAUGGCUGGUACUUUGUCCUGAUCGCCUUAGAUAUUGUUCCAAGUCAAUCAUUUGUCAUCGCAAAGCAUGCUGGGAAGGUUCUACUAAUGAAGCCCUAGGUUUGUGCGCCAUUUUUUGCUGCCCUGGCAUUUUUGUCCAUUUAAGAAGCCUGAUGUAAGGACGACAGUGGUUAUACAUCCAUGUUACGACACCAGCAGGAGCAGAGUGCGGUUGGACUGCUGCUGUCACAUCCAUCUGAUCUCUGUCACCAUUCAGCAUCGACACACCGGAGGGUGUAAAGGAUCCGCGACUGUCUUUUAAAGCAGUCGUUUUCUUCCACAGCAGAACGCAGUCAGGGAGUUAGCGCUUUUAGAUACGACAAUGAACACAUCGUAUCAUUGUUAUAGAUUAAUUUUAAUAUUAGUGGUGGACAGUAACUGAGGUCAUCUACUGAAGUAUUGUGCUAAAGAACAAUACUUUUUAUUUUAUUUGAAUGUUUCUAUUUCAUGCUGUUAUACUUCAACUCUAUUACUACUCUGAGAUAAAUAAUACUUUUCACAAGUUUUAAAUUUGCCAAAUGUGCUAUUAAUAAUAUUUUGAUGUUAUUGAUGCAUUAAACCUCUAUAAAAAAUAUAAAUCCCAUAAAAACUACAACAAAGUAUUGAUGAAUCAAUUUUAAUUAUCAAUUAAAAUGAUUAAAAACA